UUUAGCAUGAACGAGCAUCUCUGCUGUCGUACGCUUCUUUUUCCACCGGAGCUUGCUCCACCGGAAAAAGAAGAGUGGCGAACGGGUGAGUAACACGUGGGUAACCUGCCCAUCAGAAGGGGAUAACACUUGGAAACAGGUGCUAAUACCGUAUAACAAUCGAAACCGCAUGGUUUUGAUUUGAAAGGCGCUUUCGGGUGUCGCUGAUGGAUGGACCCGCGGUGCAUUAGCUAGUUGGUGAGGUAACGGCUCACCAAGGCCACGAUGCAUAGCCGACCUGAGAGGGUGAUCGGCCACAUUGGGACUGAGACACGGCCCAAACUCCUACGGGAGGCAGCAGUAGGGAAUCUUCGGCAAUGGACGAAAGUCUGACCGAGCAACGCCGCGUGAGUGAAGAAGGUUUUCGGAUCGUAAAACUCUGUUGUUAGAGAAGAACAAGGAUGAGAGUAACUGUUCAUCCCUUGACGGUAUCUAACCAGAAAGCCACGGCUAACUACGUGCCAGCAGCCGCGGUAAUACGUAGGUGGCAAGCGUUGUCCGGAUUUAUUGGGCGUAAAGCGAGCGCAGGCGGUUUCUUAAGUCUGAUGUGAAAGCCCCCGGCUCAACCGGGGAGGGUCAUUGGAAACUGGGAGACUUGAGUGCAGAAGAGGAGAGUGGAAUUCCAUGUGUAGCGGUGAAAUGCGUAGAUAUAUGGAGGAACACCAGUGGCGAAGGCGGCUCUCUGGUCUGUAACUGACGCUGAGGCUCGAAAGCGUGGGGGAGCAAACAGGAUUAGAUACCCUGGUAGUCCACGCCGUAACGAUGAGUGCUAAGUGUUGGAGGGUUUCCGCCCUUCAGUGCUGCAGCUAACGCAUUAAGCACUCCGCCUGGGAGUACGACCGCAGGUUGAAACUCAAAGGAAUUGACGGGGGCCCGCACAAGCGGUGGAGCAUGUGGUUUAUUUCGAAGCAACGCGAAGAACCUUACCAGGUCUUGACAUCCUUUUGACCACUCUAAGAAGAUAGAAGCUCCCCCUUCGGGGGCAAAUUGACAGGUGGGGCAUGGCUGUCGUCAGCUCGUGUCGUGAGAUGUUGGGAUUAGUUCCGCCAACGAGCGCAACUCUUUAAUUGCUAGUUGCAUUCAAUUCAGUUGGCAACUCUAAGCAGACCUGCGGUGACAAACCCGUAGAAGUCGGGUAUGACGUCAAAAUCCAUCAGGCCUAGGACUGCUCUUACCACUGUGUCAAAUGGAAGUACUCACCGCAAGUGUCCGUAAGCUC
rnacentral:rRNA from 1 species